AGAGUUUGAUCCUGGCUCAGGACGAACGUUGGCGGCGUGCUUAACACAUGCAAGUCGAGCGGUUCUCGUAGUUUACUUCGAGGAUAGCGGCGGACGGGUGAGUAACGCGUGGAUAAUCUGGCGUGCUUAACACAUGCAAGUCGAGCGGUUCUCGUAGUUUACUUCGAGGAUAGCGGCGGACGGGUGAGUAACGCGUGGAUAAUCUGCCUGUAAGACAGGGAUAACGCCGGGAAACCGGUGCUAAUACCGGAUAACCUCUUUGGAUCGCAUGAUAUGAAGAGAAAAGGUGGCCUCUUUACAAUGCUACCACUUACAGAUGAAUCCGCGUCCCAUUAGCCAGUUGGUGGGGUAAAGGCCUACCAAAGCGACGAUGAGAGGGUGACCGGCCACACUGGAACUGAGAUACGGUCCAGACUCCUACGGGAGGCAGCAGUGGGGAAUCUUCCGCAAUGGGCGAAAGCCUGACGGAGCAACGCCGCGUGAGCGAAGAAGGUUUUCGGAUUGUAAAGCUCUGUGAUAUUGGACGAACGAUUUCCCGUAAAUAAUGGGAAAGAAUGACGGUACAAUAAGAGGAAGCCCCGCGGUAAUACGUAGGUGGCAAACGUUGUCCGGAAUUACUGGGCGUAAAGGGCGAGUAGGUGGUUUAUUAAGUCAGAAGUGAAAACUCCAGGCUCAACUUGGAGACUGCUUCUGAAACUGGUAGACUUGAGUGCAAGAGAGGGAAGUGGAAUUCCUAGUGUAGCGGUGAAAUGCGUAGAUAUUACACAGAAUAUCGAUUGCGAAGGCAGCUCACAAAGCCAUUAUUGACGCUGAGGCGCGAAAGCGUGGGGAUCAAACAGGAUUAGAUACCCUGGUAGUCCACGCCGUAAACGAUGAGUGCUAGGUGUCGGGGGUAUCGACCCCCUCGGUGCCACAGCUAACGCAAUAAGCACUCCGCCUGGGGAGUACGGUCGCAAGACUGAAACUCAAAGGAAUUGACGGGGGCCCGCACAAGCGGUGGAGUAUGUGGUUUAAUUCGACGCAACGCGAAGAACCUUACCAAGGCUUGACAUCCCGUGACAGCCAUAGAAAUAUGGUCUUAUAGGUUUAACAUCUAUACACGGAGACAGGUGGUGCAUGGUUGUCGUCAGCUCGUGAGAUGUUGGGUUAAGUCCCGCAACGAGCGCAACCCUCGCCCUUAGUUGCCAGCAUUAAGUUGGGCACUCUAAGGAGACUGCCGUUGACAAAACGGAGGAAGGUGGGGAUGACGUCAAAUCAUCAUGCCCCUUAUGUCUUGGGCUACACACGUACUACAAUGGCCUGAACAGAGGGAAGCAAAACUGCGAAGUUAAGCCAACCCCUUAAAACAGGUCCCAGUUCGGAUUGUAGGCUGCAACUCGCCUACAUGAAGUCGGAAUCGCUAGUAAUCGCAGGUCAGCAUACUGCGGUGAAUACGUUCCCGGGCCUUGUACACACCGCCCGUCACACCACGAAAGUCGGCAACACCCGAAGCCGGUGACUCAACCCGAAAGGGAGAGAGCCGUCGAAGGUGGGGUUGGUAAUUGGGGUGAAGUCGUAACAAGGUAACCU
rnacentral:rRNA from 1 species